CCUUGAGAAUGCUGGGGAAGGUUCUAUUUUGCCCAUGCUGAGGUCUGCCAGACUUGUUUUACAGUUUCUUUCUUCAGGACGAUCAUACUCGGUUGGUUCCUCAUGCAAUCGUGUGGAUGCCCAGAUGAUGUGGCAUUUCGUUCAGUCUGCCUGGAUAUUGCAUAUCAGCUGCAAUAAGAGAAGAGUUGCCCCUAUUGCUGCACUUUUGUCUUCUGUGUUGCAUUAUUCUGUGUUUAGUGAUGGGAAUAUGCAUGAAGUCGAUCAUGCAGCUGGGCCUCUGAAGUGGUUCAUGGAAAAGCUUAUUGAGGAAGGUACUAAGAGCCCUCGCACAAUCCGUCUUGCUGCUUUACAUCUAUCAGGGCUUUGGUUGUCAAAUCCUAGCACAAUAAAGUUCUAUAUUAAAGAACUGAAGCUGCUCACGCUCUAUGGUUCUGUUGCAUUUGAUGAGGAUUUUGAGAUGGAAUUAUCUGAUAAUUAUGAUGCAAAGACAGAAGUAUCAUUAUUAGCUAAAAGCCCAGACUCUGAGCUGACUGAGGAAAAAAGGAAAAGAAACUUGGUGGAACAAGAAUAAAUUCCACUUAGUUUUGCUCAUAUGAAACAUUUCCUUUGUAGAUGAGGUUGAUUCUAUUACCUCAAUAGACCUACUUGGUUGGUUGGAUGCAUGUGGAGACUGCAUAUUAUAUGGUCUUUAUCAACACAGAGUUGUAUGCAAGAGUUUCUGUUGCUGCACUGUUUUACAGACUUGCUGACUUGGCUGAUAUGGUCGGAUCAACAAAUGAAAAUAAAAGUUGUCUAGCGGCUCUAGAGUCUGGCAAAUCUUUUUUGCUAGAGCUUCUCGAUUCUGUGGUAUUGGUUUCCUUCUUUCAGUGUGAGAUAAUUAGAAAUUUCACCUUAAGCCGGAGUUCUAACGUGGAGAUAAAGUUAUAAAAAUCUCAGGGAAAACUGGCUAUAAUGUAUUUCCAAUUGCACAAUAGAGGCAAGCAUCUGUUUUUAGUGACUUUACUCUGUCUUAUCCAUGUGGAGUUAUUGUCUAGGAUCAGCCUUUAGGGCAUUGUUUGGAACAAUUGAGCAUAGAGUUUGAAUUAAUCUUAAAAUGAAUUUUGGUAUGGAAUUUACUUGAAAAUGAAUUCCAUUAUGGAAUUGAAUGCAUUUGAAAAUGAAUUCCCAUAUUUGAAAUAAA